GAUAUAUAAAUAUAUAUAAACUAUAAAACAAUUCACGUAAUCGUAGUUUCGAUUCUAAUUAUAUCAUAAUAAACGUUUAUAACAACACUAAAUUAUUUCAUUAAAUACAUUUUUAUGGAUAAUAACAGCGAGCUUAAAAAUGAUAUUUAGCUUGAUUGACGUUUCGUAAGACUAUUUAAAAAUAAAUAAAAUGUCUCCCGGGCGUACGUCUUACCGUCUUUCGCUGAUUUUCGGAAUUCUCUUCCUUAGAUUAAAGUCUUUACGAUGAGACUCUCGUGGCGCGACGCAGAUAGGGAUUUCAGGAAACAUUUACCAGGUGGUGAAACCACAGAACGUCAGUUAACAGAAACCUUGCAUUCUGUGAAAACUGGUUUCAAACCAUUGCCUGGUUUUGAUCCAGAGCGGGAUGAUGUUGCAUAUUAUUGUGCACAACAAGAAAUCGAUUGUGAUGAAGUAUAUCCUGGAAUAUAUAUAGGAGAUGGUGCCACAGCAAAAAAUAAAAGUUAUCUCGCGAUGCUUGGUAUAACACAUUUACUUAAUGCUGCAGAAGGGAAGAAAUUUGGAUUUGUAAAUACUGAUAAAAAUUAUUAUAUAAAUACAACAAUAAAAUAUCUUGGAUUACCACUGGCUGAUCAUCCAACUGCUGACAUAAGCAAGUAUUUCUACACUGCAGCAUCUUUUAUCGAUGAAGCUGUUUCUAGUAAUGGUAAAGUUUUUGUACACUGUAUGCUGGGAGUAUCUCGCAGUGCAACAUGCGUCUUAGCAUACUUGAUGAUAAAGAAGAAUAUGUUGGCUGUUGAUGCAAUAAGAAUAGUACGAGAAAAACGCGAUAUUCAUCCGAAUUAUGGAUUUCGCAGUCAAUUAGCUCAACUGGAUAAUCAACUGCGUCGACAACGUUUAUAAUAAAAAGAAAAAAAUUUAAUUGAAGCUCUUUGGAAUUUAUAUUUUCUGCCUCAUUGACCGAAGACGAUUCAAUUGGACAUCACCUCUCUUCUUGUUUACAUCUUGCGAUGUUUAUAUAUUCGACACAUGGAAGAUACUCAUUGGAUCAUUCACGUUUAAAAAAACCGCUAAUUCAUGUUUUGACUCACUGGAACUCAAUAUACGGUAUGUUACAGCGAUUUAUAGAGCACAAAGAGUUUUGAAACGAAAAUUAAAAAAAUGAUAGCUUUAUUGAAAGAGGAAUGUAUCAAGAUCAAAAAUAUUGUAAAAGUACCAACUUAUUUGAAUGAAAUCACAUUGAAAUUGCAGAAAGGUCAAUUAUUUUUAGGGAAUUUUUAUAAAUUGUGGUUAAAUCUUAAAUUAUAAUUAAAAAUCAAGAAUUCGACUGCAGUAGUGAUCUUUUAUUAUGUAGGAAAAAAACUGCUACUGUUAAAAAAUGAUGCAGUUUAUGGUUUUUUAAAAUUUACAGUUUAAACAUCUAUUGCGAUAGAGCAAAAGGCAAAGAUUAGGAAACAUCGUCGAUUAAUACUUCGUCUUCUAAGUAUUAAUAAUUGGAGAAUCUUCCAAGGAUACUCCUAACCAAAACGAAACUUUUGUCACCGAUAAUGGUCGCCAGUAACCAAAAAAUAAUUCUUGUAAGCAAUAAUGGUUAU